GUGCUCACUUCAGCAGCACGUAUACUAAAAUUGGAGCGAUACAGAGAAGAUUAGCGCGACCCCUGCACAAGGAUGACACGCAAAUUCUUGAAGUGAUCCAUAUUUUU
ensembl:snRNA U6 U6 spliceosomal RNA